ACCUAAAACUUGAACUUUCGCGGGCUAGUCAGUGCCCUGAACACUUCCUAAUUAUUGUUUGAAUUAUGUGACUUCUGGAAAAGGAACUGUUUCUUGCAGGAGGCAAAAUGCUUUUCUGGGGGCAGGAGAGUGUGUUGGCAUUGUGCGCUGCGGUUGUGGUUUGUCUGCAGGAGCAAGUCGGCUUCUCGGAGAUGCCUGAGAGGCAAAUACCUCGACUCCAUUCGGUCUUCGCAGGCUGCCAACGCUGCUGCUCUACCUGGCCAGAUCAGAUGGGAAUGGAGAUAGCGUCUCUGCUUAUUUUCUUUAGAGCGGUGUGAAAACAAACACACCCCCUUUCCACAGCUGAAGACAACCUUCCUGUAAACACUGUCCAAAAAAAAA